GGAACAAAGGACAGGAACCACAGAUGUGUGAGUGAUUUCUGGACCCAGAUUAGGAAGGAAUCCAGUCUGUGAAAAAACCUUAUUGGAACAUCUCUGGGGGUGAGAUUUUAUCUGUAAUCAGUUUCUUAAUGUAUUAGGCUUAGAUUUG